rnacentral:lncRNA from 1 species
CGGGAAUGAAGGGGCCACCGGUUGUGCUGCUUCGACCUCACGAUGAAUGAUGCGGGUCAAGUUUUCACAUCGCGAUGGCUGGCAGAAGAGGUCGUCACAGGAUGACGUAGCAGCUGUGUUGGGAAGCGGCGUGAUGUGCUGGGAUACCCGGCGGCUUUUAGCAUGCUCAAGACGGCAGCACUCCUUGAGGAUUGUAUCGAUGCUGGUGACGUUCGUAAGCACCAGUAAAUUGAAGGUGUCGUCAGCAAUGCCUUUGAGGACGUGAUUAACCUUAUCGUCCGCAGACAUGUUCGGGUCAGCCUUGGCACAAAGGGCUGAGACGUCGAGAAUGUAUGACACGUGGGACUCUGUCGACGUCUGUACACGUGUGGCAAGGGCUUUCUUGGCAUUGACUUGGCAACCGAACGGAUUGCCAAAAAGGUCGCACAGCUUCCCUUUGAAGAGAUCCCAGCUCGAGA